AACUCAGUUUAAUCAAAACUCAUUAUCUUCUAAACGAAUACACGAUGACAAUUAUAUAAAACAAUGAUUUGUGUUUACAGAAAGAAUAGAGAACUAUUACUUUCGAUUAAAUUAGGAAAAUGUUUCAUAAACUCGUGUAUGAGUUAUCUACAUUUCAGUGUUAUUUUUAGAUAAAUACAUGAAAAUCAAUGCUAGCUGCUCCUGAAAUGUGCAAUGAAUAUCAUUGUAAUUACUUUUCUCAUCCAAUAAUUUAAUAAUUAAUGUGAUCCUAAUAUGCUUUAAGAUAGUAGUAUAUAUUGAAGUAUUAUAUUUAAUUAUUGACCAAUUUAACUGUACAUCAUUUUGUUUAUUACAAAUUCUGUAAAUAUUAGGAAUCUUUGAAUUAAUUAUAACAGAAAAAAAACGGAAUCUAUCUUGCAUACUCGCUUAAUCAAAUUAAUGCGAUUUAUGCAUUUAGGUUGAUCUGAAUAAUCUAGAAACGAUAUAAUGCGCCGAUAUGUAUAAUUGUAAUAUUUCUUAUAAAAUAUUAACCAGCUCUUGUUCAAAUGUUCACAAUGUCUGGUUGUGCUGCUUGUUGCUAUUUUACAAAUUUAUCAAUUACAUCAGACGCUAUGCAAAUCAAAGAA